GAGUUUGAUCGUGGCUCAGAUUGAACGCUGGCGGCAUGCCUUACACAUGCAAGUCGAACGGCAGCACGGGAGCUUGCUCCUGGUGGGCGAGUGGCGAACGGGUGAGUAAUGCAUCGGAACGUAUCCUGGAGUGGGGGAUAACGUAGCGAAAGUUACGCUAAUACCGCAUAUUCUGUGAGCAGGAAAGCGGGGGACCUUCGGGCCUCGCGCUCUUGGAGCGGCCGAUGUCGGAUUAGCUAGUUGGUGAGGUAAAGGCUCACCAAGGCGACGAUCCGUAGCAGGUCUGAGAGGAUGAUCUGCCACACUGGAACUGAGACACGGUCCAGACUCCUACGGGAGGCAGCAGUGGGGAAUUUUGGACAAUGGGGGCAACCCUGAUCCAGCCAUGCCGCGUGAGUGAAGAAGGCCUCGG
rnacentral:rRNA from 1 species